GACGAACGCUGGCGGCGUGCUUAACACAUGCAAGUCGAGCGGUAAGGCCCUUUCGGGGGUACACGAGCGGCGAACGGGUGAGUAACACGUGGGUGACCUGCCUUUAGCUCUGGGAUAAGCCUGGGAAACCGGGUCUAAUACCGGAUAUGACUCCAUGACGCAUGUUGUGGGGUGGAAAGCCUUGUGCGGCUGAGGAUGGGCCCGCGGCCUAUCAGCUUGUUGGUGGGGUGANGGCCUACCAAGGCGACGACGGGUAGCCGGCCUGAGAGGGCGACCGGCCACACUGGGACUGAGACACGGCCCAGACUCCUACGGGAGGCAGCAGUGGGGAAUCUUGCGCAAUGGGCGAAAGCCUGACGCAGCGACGCCGCGUGAGGGAUGACGGCCU
rnacentral:rRNA from 1 species